CCUACGGGAGGCAGCAGUGGGGGAUAUUGCACAAUGGGGGGAACCCUGAUGCAGCGACGCCGCGUGGGUGAAGGAGUGCUUCGGCAUGUAAAGCCCUAUCGGCAGGGAAGAAGCAAGACGGUACCUGACUAAGAAGCCCCGGCUAACUACGUGCCAGCAGCCGCGGUAAUACGUAGGGGGCGAGCGUUAUCCGGAUUCACUGGGUGUAAAGGGAGCGUAGACGGCAAAGCAAGCUAGUGGUGAAAGCCCAGGGCCCAACCCCAGAACUGCCCUUGAAACUGCAUGGCUGGAGUGGGGGAGGGGCAGGUGGAAUUCCUGGUGUAGGGGUGAAAUGCGUAGAUAUCAGGAGGAACACUGGCGGCGAAGGCGGCCUGCUGGACCGCGACUGACGUUGAGGCGCGAAAGCGUGGGGAGCGAACAGGAUUAGAUACCCGUGUAGUC
rnacentral:rRNA from 1 species